UGAUCUGUUUACACAAUCUGGAGAUAGAAUGUAGGUUAAUUGAUCUGUUUACACAAUGUAGAGAUAGAAUGUAGGUUAAUUGAUCUGUUUACACAAUGUAGAGAUAGAAUGUAGGUUAAUUGAUCUGUUUACACAAUGUAGAGAUAGAAUGUAGGUUAAUUGAUCUGUUUAUACAAUGUAGAGAUAGAAUGUAGGUUAAUUGAUCUGUUUACACAAUGUAGAGAUAGAAUGUAAGUUAAUUGCCCAUAUAGAGAUAGAAUGUAGGUUAAUAGAUCUGUUUACACAAUGUAGAGAUAGAAUGUAGGUUAAUAGAUCUGUUUACACAAUGUAGAGAUAGAGUGUAGGUUAAUUGAUCUGUUUACACAAUGUAAAGAUAGAAUGUAGGUUAAUUGAUCUGUUUACACAAUGUAGAGAUAGAGUGUAGGUUAAUUGAUCUGUUUACACAAUGUAGAGAUAGAAUGUAGGUUAAUUGAUCUGUUUACACAAUGUAGAGAUAGAAUGUAGGUUAAUUGAUCUGUUUACACAAUGUAGAGAUAGAAUGUAGGUUAAUUGAUCUGUUUACACAAUGUAG
rnacentral:lncRNA from 1 species